AUUGUGUGAUUGCCCGUUGCUUGUUUUACAGGAUAUAUUUCCACGCGUACAGUAUAGUUGAUAACUUUAGUGCCUCGUCUUGUAAUUAAAUAAACGUUUUGUAAGUUUAGGUGCAGACUGACAAUGGGGGAAAAAGUACAGUUUGUGUGCAUUAUGCGGCUUGUUAAAUGUAGGUGCACGUGGCUUUCUUUAUUUUACUUUCUGGUUAGUGGCGAAAGCGUGGCCUCACUGUAAUUUCAUUGUAUGGUAAUCAGUAUGUUUGUAUUUAUUUAUUUAUUUUACAGAUUGGUCAACAGAAGUCAAGAUUAAACUUUUAUACCUGCCAGGCCAUGCUUAUCUGUAACUAAUAGCAGGCCUUUUAGCAGAUGGCAAUCUCUGUUAGUAGAACUUGGCACGUUGAACAGAGAAGGUUGAAAGACUGUAUGAAAGCCAAAGGAUCCUAGUGCCUGUAGGAAUGCACCGAUCAUUGGAUCGCCGUCCAUCACUAAUAAAAUACGAACGAUGGUUUUCUUGAAGGAUUGUUGUGGGUGACUCUGCCUUAUCUCAGUACGUCACUGAUGGCACAGAAUGAGCGAUCAAGUCUGGACCUAAAUCCAUGGAACAUGUAGAGAUAUCCUCUGGUAAUGCAGAUUUAUCACAGGAGACUCACUCUGGCAUGCACUGAUCACAUAGGACCUGGCAAACCCUGGACCAGGAUGAUUCCACAGUGAUUCCAGGACAGAGAAUUUAAAUUACUGUUGCUAGCAGGUGAUAACAGCUCCUGCAGCAGUAAAGAUCAAGAAGCAAUAUUUCAAAAAACGACUGCAGAAUAUUCAAAUGGUAUAUGCAGGAACCAAGCUGUAAUGUUUAUUGCUUCUGAAGUGGGAACUUGUUAGAGUGCUUCGUUUUAUCUGCUUGAGGGUGACACCAUAGAACUGUUAUGUAAAAUAAAGCACUGUAUGACUUGUUUACAUUUCAUUUUUAUAUCUAGAAUCGUUUAAAACAUGUGUUCUGCCCUUAUUUGGAAACCAGUGUAAAGCAAUUUUGUGUGUUGGUGUUUAAUUGUAAAAAUAAAGAUACAAAAAACAUUUUGUGUACAAAUCAUUGUUGGUGAUUAACAGGAAACAUCAAAUAUGGUGAACCACCUCUUACAAUAAGAACCCCAUCUGUGCUGCAUAUUAUCGGGUAUGUAUUGCACCACUCAAAGUCCUGCGCCAUACACCCAUGUCCAAGUUACUCUACCUAUUCAGCUUGUCUUCUGUGGCUGGCAAAAUGAUUGCUGUAGUUGGUAACGCUGUGUGUGAACGUGGGGUUUAAUAGUAGCAAUAGGUUUUGUUUCAUAAUUCCCCAGAAACUGGACCACUGGUUUGCAAGAUGUAGUUUCUUGAAGGAAAACAAAUAGUAUAAAAGGCCUAAAAAAAAAAAAAAAACCAAUAAUGUACCAGGCUGUAGAGGUAAUAGUAGAAAUGAAUUGGAGUAACAGGACACUCCUAAAUCAUUCAGCCUGUAAAAAAAAUAGUAACGCUGCUCUUCUAGUUAUUAAAAAGGGGUAUUUGACGAAAUAGCAUAUAAAAAGCAUAUAAAACAGUAAUUUAUAUUAAUGUGAAGAAAUGAGUUGUUGUACAUGUCGGUUACAGCGUAAAGCAAUAGUUACACAUGAUCGGUAUUUACUGAAUAUAGUUCCAGAACCUGGAUUUACGGAAUGAUUAGAUCGACUUUAACCUCACGGUAAAUAAAAUACACGAAGUUAGCAAUGUGGCAUCAAUCUGGACUGAAAAAGAAAUCACUUAAUUGUUGAAAUCGUUUUUUCUAAAAGUGGCUGCAAUUACAAAGUGCAUUCCUUAGUAUAGUAAAAUGCUCUAAAAUCCAACUGUGACUUAUACCAUGGAGAAGAAGCAAAUCAAAUAGUAAACAAUAAAACAACUUCGACCCUCUCCCCAUCAAAUAAUACUUCCUUUUUGUACUUUACGCACUUUUCCAACAAAUCUUGACAUUGAUCUUUAUAAAUAGUAACAUCUCGUAAUGCUCGGGCCACAGAUACAUUAAAUAAUUUUUCAAAGACCAUACACGUUACAAUUACCGGAAUUUACACUGGUACC